rnacentral:rRNA from 1 species
GACGAACGCUGGCGGCGUGCUUAACACAUGCAAGUCGAACGGAAAGGCCCUGCUUUUGUUGGGUGCUCGAGUGGCGAACGGGUGAGUAACACGUGAGUAACCUGCACUUGACUUUGGGAUAACUUCAGGAAACUGGGGCUAAUACCGGAUAGGAGCUCCUGCUGCAUGGUGGGGGUUGGAAAGUUUCGGCGGUUGGGGAUGGACUCGCGGCUUAUCAGCUUGUUGGUGGGGUAGUGGCUUACCAAGGCUUUGACGGGUAGCCGGCCUGAGAGGGUGACCGGCCACAUUGGGACUGAGAGACGGCCCAGACUCCUACGGGAGGCAGCAGUGGGGAAUAUUGCACAAUGGGCGGAAGCCUGAUGCAGCAACGCCGCGUGCGGGAUGACGGCCUUCGGGUUGUAAACCGCUUUCGCCUGUGACGAAGCGUGAGUGACGGUAAUGGGUAAAGAAGCACCGGCUAACUACGUG